UGGUACAAUGGUUAAGCACUGGGCUGCUAACCCAAAGGUUGGUGGUUCAAACCCACC
rnacentral:tRNA from 1 species